UAUUUAUUAAAUAGAUAUUUUUUUUUUUUUUUUUUUUUUUAACUUUGAAGUGUGUUGGCGGAGUUAUUAAA